rnacentral:rRNA from 1 species
AACGAACGCUGGCGGCAGGCUUAACACAUGCAAGUCGAACGCCCCGCAAGGGGAGUGGCAGACGGGUGAGUAACACGUGGGAACGUGCCCAAAGGUACGGAACAACUCCGGGAAACUGGAGCUAAUACCGUAUGUGCCCGAAAGGGGAAAGAUUUAUCGCCUUUGGAUCGGCCCGCGUCUGAUUAGCUAGUUGGUGGGGUAAUGGCCCACCAAGGCGACGAUCAGUAGCUGGUCUGAGAGGAUGAUCAGCCACACUGGGACUGAGACACGGCCCAGACUCCUACGGGAGGCAGCAGUGGGGAAUUUUGGACAAUGGGCGCAACCCUGACGCAGCCAUGCCGCGUGAACGAUGAAGGCCUUAGGGUUGUAAAGUUCUUUUACCCGUGACGAUGAUGACGGUAACGGGGGAAGUAAGCUCCGGCUAACUUCGUG